CUCGGCUACAACUAUGGCGUUAUACUUAUUCCUGAAGGCCUAAUUGAUUUUAUUCCUGAGGUGCAACAACUUAUUGCAGAACUGAAUGAGAUCCUAGCUCAUGGCGCUGUUGACGAGGGAGGCGUGUGGAAAAAUAAACUGAAGGAUCAAUCUAAGGUUCUGUUUGAGUUUUUACCACAAGCAAUCCAGGAGCAGCUGCUAUUAGAAAGAGACCCACAUGGAAAUGUUCAGGUUGCCAAAAUAGAAACUGAAAAAAUGCUUAUUUCCAUGGUCGAGACUGAAUUGGAGAAGAGAAAGUCAGAGGGAAAAUAUGCACAACAGUUCAAAGGGCAGUCCCACUUUUUCGGAUAUGAAGGAAGAUGUGGGCUGCCUACAAAUUUUGAUUCGACUUAUUGCUAUGCACUGGGUUAUGCUGCAGGAGCCCUUCUUCAUUCUGGAAGGACCGGCCUCAUUUCCUCGGUUGGUAACUUGUGUGCCCCUGUUGAUCAAUGGUCUGUUGGAGGAACUCCUUUGACUUCAAUGAUGGAUGUUGAGAGGAGACAUGGCAAGUUCAAGCCAGUGAUCAAGAAGGCUAUGGUGGAGCUUGAUGGUGCGCCGUUCAAAAAGUUUGCGUCCAUGCGGGACGAGUGGGGCAUCAAGAACAGAUACAUCAGCCCAGGCCCCAUUCAAUUUAUUGGUGCCGGAGCUAAUGAUGUCAACCAUACAUUGUUGCUCGAACUUGGUGCCCAGGCGUAGAAGUCUCCUGGUUUCGCAUAUUGCCUUGUAGUUUUUAGGAGUCCACUGAGUAAUUGAUAAAUUUAUGGACACUUUUAUAGGGUGGAUCUGUUGUCUUCUCGAUCCACCCUUUUUUAUUUAAUAAAGUUUUUUCCAGGAUUAAUUGGUGAAUCCCAUAGUCG
rnacentral:misc_RNA from 1 species